GAUCAGGAGCAUGAAUGAUGUUCUGAGAGUCAAAAAGAAGAUGGGGAGGACCAAUGAGAUGGAGAUUCAUCUGAGCCCAGAAAUGGCUGAGGAACGUGCAGCUUAAGAAUGCCCAGCUGCACCUUGAUGACGCCAUUAGAGGCAGACAUGAAGGCGCAGGUUACCUUUGUGGUGCGCAGGAACAACCUGAUGCUUGCUGAGAUAGAGGAGCUGAGGGUUGCACUGGAGCAGAUGGAGAGAGACUUCAAAGUGGCUGGUUGAUGCCAGCAACAGUAACUGUCCGCCAAGGUUGUAGUGCACAGUUCUGACUGGCUUCCGUUAUACCAGCUUGUGGGGCUGGCUGCUGCACUCUCAGCUUGUUGACCUGAGACUCGGCAAUGUCAGCUCGCUCCUGAGCUUCCUCCAUCUCAUGCUGUACCUUCCUGUACCUGGACAGAAACAACUGAGCUCGGGAUAACAAACCAAGGUGAUUGUAACAUUCCUGUCUACAAGCUGGCCACAAAGAGCAUGGAGAUACAUGUUCCAUAACAGUAGCAUCCCUGUUUAACCAUGUUCACAGAGGCUUGUUCACAUCUAUCUCACCAUGCAUUGGACAGAAGGCAGGGAAACACGCUGGACAGUCCAUCAUAACCUUUUAACAUAUGAGGAAGUGAAGGAAGAAGAAGAAAGGGGAUCUGAGUGAGGUGGCACCUCUGCUAAUCCAUGUGAACUGACAGAAACAUCACAGAAAAGUCUGAGAGAUAGCUGAG